GAUGAACGCUGGCGGCGUGCCUAAUACAUGCAAGUCGAGCGAACGGACGAGAAGCUUGCUUCUCUGAUGUUAGCGGCGGACGGGUGAGUAACACGUGGAUAACCUACCUAUAAGACUGGGAUAACUUCGGGAAACCGGAGCUAAUACCGGAUAAUAUUUUGAACCGCAUGGUUCAAUAGUGAAAGACGGUCUUGCUGUCACUUAUAGAUUGAUCCGCGCUGCAUUAGCUAGUUGGUAAGGUAACGGCUUACCAAGGCAACGAUGCAUAGCCGACCUGAGAGGGUGAUCGGCCACACUGGAACUGAGACACGGUCCAGACUCCUACGGGAGGCAGCAGUAGGGAAUCUUCCGCAAUGGGCGAAAGCCUGACGGAGCAACGCCGCGUGAGUGAUGAAGGUCUUCGGAUCGUAAAACUCUGUUAUUAGGGAAGAACAUAUGUGUAAGUAACUGUGCACAUCUUGACGGUACCUAAUCAGAAAGCCACGGCUAACUACGUG
rnacentral:rRNA from 1 species